AACUUUGCAGCGUACUUGGACCGCUCUGGCCGCCCUGGGCGCUACCCGCAGAGAUAAGGGCCCCUCCCUGCGCCCGGUCCGGGCAUCUCCGAGCCGGCCUGGGGGUGGCUGAACUCUCUUUUGCCGGCCGAAACCCCAGCCCCCGCAGCCCCCGCAGCCGAUCGGUCCUCAAGCUACAGCUCCCCUCUCUGGGAGUCCCCGCUUUUGAAUUCCCCGGGGAUGUUCCCGCUGCGGUCCGAUGGACCUCCCAGAGCAGCGGAGGUCAGGGGAGCUAGCAGAGGCGGGGACGUCCCUUGGGAGUGAGGGGACUGACAGGGGCGGCCUCGUAACCCUGCGUGGGAUGGAAGGUCAGAGUGGGUUCCUCGGUGGGGGGCAACAGCGGGGGCUCUCCGGCAAUUGUCCCCGACCCUCCGUCCUGGGGAGGGCAGGAUCAGCGCGCGGGCUGCUUUGCAUCUCUUUGCAUUUUAGUGAUGUUUGGUCCAGUCCUGGCCCGGGCAGAUCUGGGGUUCGGGCGGGUGCCGGUGGGGUAGGGCUGGGGGUGGGAGCGGCGUUUCCUGCUGCGGGUGAGCCUUUUGCCUCGGAACUGGACCCGGGAGACAUCACAGCGCUGGGCUAGGGGCGCGGCUUGAACUCGCCUAAAGAGCUGCGCCCUCUCAGUAAGUCCCCAUGGCCCCCUGCCCCCCCGCGCUCCGUCCUCAGUCAGGCCCGGGUCCUGCCUGAAGGCGGGGGUGGACCAGAUGAUCUUUCUUGGGCCCUGGGCCUAGAUUCGAGGUCCCCAGGGUCCAAGUCCUGGGUUCAGAGGGCGGGGCGCGAGGGGCGGGGUCUCCAAGGGGCGGGGUCCCGGGGUCCCUGAAAGGCGCGGACCAGGCCGGAUCCACCCAGUCUCGCGCCUGCAGCCCGUGCCGCCCCAGCCGCUGCCGCCUGCACCGGACCCGGAGCCGUCAUGCCCAAGUGUCCCAAGUGCAACAAGGAGGUGUACUUCGGUGAGCGCGCCCACACCGGCCCCGCGAGGAGGCGCCGCCGACGGGGCGACGAGGCUGGGGACCGCUCAGGAGGACCGGGGGCGCUGGGUCCCUGGGGCGGCGCCCCAGCCUGAAAACGCCUCAGCCUGGCCCGCCGCCUGCCCCGGGAUGAGGGUGGAGGCCCCUGCGUCCGAGGGCCCUGGCGAUCUCUGCCUGCUAGUGGUCUUGCUGUGCUCGGCGGGCUACCUCUGGCUCUGAGCCUCCCCGUCUCUGGGUCCUACGGUCUCUGCCGUUUCCUCUCAGGCGCGCCCUGAGUGGGGGACCCGCAGGGCUGGAAGGAACGCGGGGCUGGGGCCGCGCCCCCCAGCGCUAAGUGGAAACAGACGCGGAAACCGACGCCCGGGGCGCGAUCCCGGGCGCCCGCCUCCCUGCCCCGCGCCCGCGCGCCCCGAGGGGAGGGAGGAAGUGGGAAGUCACCCCUGUCCCCGCCGAGAAGGGCUGUCGCAGGCUCCACCCUUGCCACCGCAGAGGCCCGGGGCUGAAAGCAGGCAGCCAGGCCCAGGCCCUGCUGACCUAAGCCGCGACCCCUGACCCUCGGCCUCGCCCUCUAGCCCCACCCAGCCUUCAGGAGCAAGAUUCCCGGCCGCACCCGAAAGUGCCCCGGGGACCAGCGACCCCGCGCUUUGUUUAGUUGUAUUGGCUCUGGGGAUUGGAGAUGUUCCCCUCAUGGAGGGUGCUGAGACCUUAGGGUGGGCUGCCAGGCUGGGCGGAUGCGGGCUAAGUGCACAGGGCCUUGGGCAGAGCUGGCUGCAAGAGGCGGGUACGCCAGUGGUGGGUAGGCGCCGCGUCCUGCAGCGUCUCACCGGGGCCUGUCUGUGCCUCUGCAGCCGAGAGGGUGACCUCUCUGGGCAAGGACUGGCAUCGGCCCUGCCUGAAGUGCGAGAAAUGUGGGAAGACGCUGACCUCUGGGGGCCACGCUGAGGUAGGUGGGACCCACCCUGGUGGCAGGGGCCAGGGGUGAUGGCACCCCCUCACGGCCCUUCUCUUUGCAGCACGAAGGCAAACCCUACUGCAACCACCCCUGCUACGCAGCCAUGUUUGGGCCUAAAGGCUUUGGGCGGGGCGGAGCCGAGAGCCACACUUUCAAGUAAACCAGGUGGUGGAGACCCCAUCCUUGGCUGCUUGCAGGGCCACUGUCCAGGCAAAUGCCAGGCCUUGUCCCCAGAUGCCCAGGGCUCCCUUGUUGCCCCUAAUGCUCUCAGUAAACCUGAACACUUGG
rnacentral:lncRNA from 10 species